AUUGAACGCUGGCGGCAUGCUUUACACAUGCAAGUCGAACGGCAGCGCGGGCUUCGGCCUGGCGGCGAGUGGCGAACGGGUGAGUAAUGCAUCGGAACGUGCCCAGUAGUGGGGGAUAGCCCGGCGAAAGCCGGAUUAAUACCGCAUACGACCUGAGGGUGAAAGCGGGGGACCGAAAGGCCUCGCGCUAUUGGAGCGGCCGAUGUCGGUUUAGCUAGUUGGUGGGGUAAAGGCUUACCAAGGCGAAGGUCCGUAGCUGGUCUGAGAGGACGACCAGCCAGACUGUGACUGAGACACGGCCCAGACUCCUACGGGAGGCAGCAGUGGGGAAUUUUGGACAAUGGGGGCAACCCUGAUCCAGCCAUGCCGCGGGCGGGAAGAAGGCCUUCGGGUUGUAAACCGCUUUUGUUCGGGAAGAAAUCCUCUGGGCUAAUACCCCGGGGGGAUGACGGUACCGGAAGAAUAAGCACCGGCUAACUACGUG
rnacentral:rRNA from 1 species